UAGCAAAGUUAAGUUGUACUGCACAUAUCGGAGUUUAAAUGACGAUUGUACGUCAUGUAAUGUUACUUUUUCAUAAAAACUUACUUGUCGUUAGUCAGUCCUGAGGAAAAAAAUGGAGAUAUUUCGUCUGUGAACUGAUUUUUAUUUCAUUAUUAUUUUUUAAAGAUUUAAAUAAAGCACAACCGGAAGUUCAGGUCAGUGAUGCGUUUCCAGUUCCACAAUGGUCCACUCCCCUUGUGGCGAGGCGGCGUCUUCCGGGGAGAAACUGGUCACCGUAAUGCUGGUGGACGAGUCCUCCAUGGGCGAUAUGAGUUCCGCCCACCGCUUGAAGGUCUCCCUCUCCGGGGACAGGAAGGCCCUGGUGUCCAGGCAGUCCCGUGACAACGACAGCGUCUGCUUGAUGAGGGUGUUAAGAAAAAGAUCAUCUCCUGUUACUCUUCCCCACGUCGCUCGCCACAGUAGUUAUAAUUCUUGGGAAGUUGGGCAACCAUGACUGACAGUGGUGGCUGCAAAUGGUAUAUCUUCUCUGCGUCGUGUACAAUACAGGGUGUUAUGAAAAAGAACAUCUCCUGGCAUUCUUCCCCACGUCACUCGCCAUAAUAGUUAUAAUUGUUGUGGAAGAGAUGCCAAAGCUUAUACCAAUAAAAAGCGUGGCUCCAAUGACCGCCUGUGUCCACUCGCUUGUCUCUGCCUCUUAGCUCUCAAUAUACUUGUAGUCUGUUUGUGACAGUGAGUGAGUGGGUCGUUCCGAGCAUGCGUUAAAUGCGUUAAAUAUUUUAGGGCUGUCAAAAUGAUCGCGUUAACGGGCGGUAAUUAAUUUUUUAAAUUAAUCACGUUAAAAUAUUUGACGCAAUUAACGCACAUGCCCCGCUCAAACAGAUUAAAAUGACAGCAGUGUAAUGUCCGCUUGCUACUUGUUUUUUUGUGUUUGGCGCCCUCUGCUGGCGCUUGGUUCCAAAUGAUUUUAUGAGUUUCAGCACAAUGAGUGAGCAUGGUGUAAUUAUUGACAUCAACAAUGGCGAGCUACUAGUUUAUUUUUUGAUAGAAAAAUUUUACAAAUUCUAACAAAACGAAAACAU